rnacentral:rRNA from 1 species
CCUACGGGAGGCAGCAGUGGGGGAUAUUGCACAAUGGGGGGAACCCUGAUGCAGCGACGCCGCGUGGGUGAAGAAGCGCCUCGGCGCGUAAAGCCCUGUCAGCAGGGAAGAAAAUGACGGUACCUGAAGAAGAAGCCACGGCUAACUACGUGCCAGCAGCCGCGGGAAUACGUAGGGGGCAAGCGUUAUCCGGAUUUACUGGGUGUAAAGGGGGCGCAGACGGCGAUGCAAGCCAGGAGGGAAAGCCCGGGGCCCAACCCCGGGACUGCUCUUGGAACUGCGUGGCUGGAGUGCAGGAGGGGCAGGCGGAAUUCCUGGUGUAGCGGUGAAAUGCGUAGAUAUCAGGAGGAACACCGGUGGCGAAGGCGGCCUGCUGGACUGCAACUGACGUUGAGGCCCGAAAGCGUGGGGAGCAAACAGGAUUAGAUACCCGUGUAGUC